GACCUGAUAGCAGAUGGUGUGCACCUGCCUCUACUAGUUGGAGAAAUAUGGGAGAGUGCUGCAGGCUUCCCCGUUCGAUUCGGGGUCAGGUCA